rnacentral:misc_RNA from 1 species
AGGUGAACCUGCGGAAGGAUCAUUACCACACCUAAAAACACCCUUCCACGUGAACCGUUUUGUUUUGCUUUCGAGUGCUUUGUUGCGCUCGGAGCAUGUUUGGGCUUCGCUGCUGGCGCUUGAUUGUGCUGGCGGCUCGAGGCCAUCAAGUGGCGUUUUGAGUGUGUGUUCGCAUACAUUUUAGACGUCCAAACCUUUUUAAACCCAUUUGAUUGAAAACUGAACUAUACUGUGGGGACGAAAGUCCUCGCUUUGAAACUAGAUAACAACUUUCAGCAGUGGAUGUCUAGGCUCGCA